rnacentral:lncRNA from 1 species
GAAUUGAGAUUAUCGAAUUGUGUUGUGUUAAGUGAAGAUAUUGAAUUUUGUGUGAUGAAUUGAGAAACUGAAUAUAAUAAGUAAGUUGGAGAUCAGUAAGUCAUUAUAUAUAAACUGCAAAGAGAGUAAGUGAGAGAUGAAUUGAUAAGAAUAUGGAAGUAUUGUUGAAUUGAUAGUCAUAGAAUGGAUUAUGUAUUGAAUUAAGAGAGAAGUAGUAAGCCUUGGUGUUUUGUAGUUUGAUAAUUGAUUUUAGAUAGCUAGAGUACAGUCAAUUGUGACACUAACAGACUCAAUUCAUAUAAUGAAUCUUUUCUCGUGUUCAAAUCCACCUCUAUUAGUUUAAUUCCUUUGAUAUAUUCAAGCUUAAAUACAACAAAAAUAAAUAUUUUGGUACCGCUG